UACGAAGGGGGCUAGCGUUGUUCGGAAUUACUGGGCGUAAAGCGCACGUAGGCGGAUUGUUAAGUCAGGGGUGAAAUCCUGGAGCUCAACUCCAGAACUGCCUUUGAUACUGACGGUCUUGAGUCCGGGAGAGGUGAGUGGAACUCCGAGUGUAGAGGUGAAAUUCGUAGAUAUUCGCAAGAACACCAGUGGCGAAGGCGGCUCACUGGCCCGAUACUGACGCUGAGGCACGAAAGCGUGGGGAGCAAACAGG
rnacentral:rRNA from 1 species